rnacentral:rRNA from 1 species
ACAGAGGUGGCAAGCGUUGUUCGGAAUUACUGGGCGUAAAGGGCGCGUAGGCGGCCUUCUAAGUCAGACGUGAAAUCCCCCGGCUUAACCUGGGAACUGCGUCUGAUACUGGGAGGCUUGAGUAUGGGAGAGGGAUGUAGAAUUCCAGGUGUAGCGGUGAAAUGCGUAGGUAUCUGGAGGAAUACCGGUGGCGAAGGCGGCAUCCUGGACCAUUACUGACGCUGAGGCGCGACAGCGUGGGGAGCAAACAGGA